rnacentral:rRNA from 1 species
GAUGAACGCUGGCGGCGUGCCUAAUACAUGCAAGUCGAGCGAACAGACGAGGAGCUUGCUCCUCUGACGUUAGCGGCGGACGGGUGAGUAACACGUGGAUAACCUACCUAUAAGACUGGGAUAACUUCGGGAAACCGGAGCUAAUACCGGAUAAUAUAUUGAACCGCAUGGUUCAAUAGUGAAAGACGGUUUUGCUGUCACUUAUAGAUGGAUCCGCGCCGCAUUAGCUAGUUGGUAAGGUAACGGCUUACCAAGGCAACGAUGCGUAGCCGACCUGAGAGGGUGAUCGGCCACACUGGAACUGAGACACGGUCCAGACUCCUACGGGAGGCAGCAGUAGGGAAUCUUCCGCAAUGGGCGAAAGCCUGACGGAGCAGCGCCGCGUGAGUGAUGAAGGUCUUCGGAUCGUAAAACUCUGUUAUUAGGGAAGAACAAAUGUGUAAGUAACUAUGCACGUCUUGACGGUACCUAAUCAGAAAGCCACGGCUAGCUACGUG